rnacentral:lncRNA from 1 species
GUAUACAUCUUAUAUAUAAAAAAGAAGAUGUGGUAUGAUUGCCAAUGAGACAACUAUCCACAAAAGACCAAAAUGACACAGACAUUAACAACUAUAGGUCACCGUACGGCCUUCAACAAUGACCAAAGCCCAUACCGCAUAGUCAGCUAUAAUAGGCCCCGAUAAGACAAUGUAAAACAAUUCAAACGAGAAAACUAACGGCCUUAUUUAUGUAAAAAAAAAUGAACGAAAAACAAAUAUGUAACACAUAAACAAACGACAACCACUGAAUUACAGGCUUCUGACUUGGGACAGGUACAUACAUAAAUAAUGUGGCGGG